UAUCAGCACUGUUUUCUGCAAAGCACUGCAAAGUAGUAUAAAAUGGGUUUUCGAAGGUAAGUUCUCCACCAAAUGGUUCUUCAAUUUGGGUGACUAGCUUACUCAUCAAACCAAUGUUUGUAUGAGGAGGAGGAAUAGAGGCAUGACCACCGGGAGUCUUCAAUUUCAAAUGCACAUCCAUAUAACCCUUUUCAGCAACACAAACAGUAGCAAAAAGUGUACCAAAUAAAUUGAUGGUAAACCCACCUUCAUCUAGAAUUAAAGCGACACCAUCCUUACCAUAUCUUUCGUACAACUUGUGUGCCAAGGGUAAGGCACCACGAUAACCAGAUACCUCUUCAUCAAAUCCGAAAGAAGCAAUAACAGUUUGUUCGGGUUUGUAAUCGGAGAUAGCCAAAAUUUCAAGAGCUUCAAGAAUAGCGACUACAGAAUUUUUGUCAUCAGCGGCUCCCCUUGAAUAGACGUGGCCAUUAUGGUAGGUUGCACUGAAUGGAGGGAAGUACCAUCUAUCAAGGCUGGCUUGAUUAACAGGGACUACGUCUUGAUGACCCAUAAGAACAAGAGGCUUCAAAUCCUUAUUGGAACCUUCGAGCGUAAUUAAAAGACCAUAAGUGUUUACAUACUCUACUUUAAGCUUCUUGAAAAUGUUAGGGUAGAGCUCGCGAACUUUGUCCUGGAAAACGGCAAAUAUAUCAAAACGAUCGUCGUCUCCAACAUCGCCCAUAUCAUCGUAACAAACGGUAGGAAUGCGCAACAAUUCUUGGAAGCGAACAAGGCUGUCAUUAAAGAAUUCAGGGCUCCUAAUAUAAUCGAUACCACUUACAUCAUCUCCGAGUUUUGGCUCCUUUGCAGGAGUCAAGACUGGAGGAAUAUAGCAUUUCGCAGAUGUUGAGACAGCCGCCGACUCAGAGUCCAUACAACUGCCAGGUGAAUGAGACAUUUCUUGUUUAUCAUUGUCAUUGGAACCGCCGCGUAACAAAUAAUAAACGAAAAUCAAGAUCAAAAAUCCAACAAAAGCAUUACCACGUUCGUUUCUUUUUUUAUGCUCCACUUGCGCCUCCAAAUCGGUCUCCUGUUCCUUCUCUUGCUUUAUAGGGUCAUGAGACGAAACAACUGGGUCGUUAGAAGUGGACAUUGUCGUAGUUUUAGAAAUUAGCAACUGUUUUUAUAUAUUUUCAGAGAUGGAUGAAUAAGCAAUAAUGAGGGAUUUAAAGCACCAAAAAUGUCACCGUAAUUCCAAAAAUAAAAAAUAAAAGGAGAUGAGAUUAAAGAGAAAAGCGAAUUUAAGCAAUUGGUUCAAAAGCUUAAAAGCAGAUUUCUAAAGGUAGUAUGAUGAGUGAGUGAUGACACCUGACCGAAGAAAAGGUCGAUCUAUUUAACGUUAAUAUCCAGAAUUAAAACUAGGUAAAAAAUCGAAAAUCUUGACUUACUGCAAUUCAACACUUCUACUAUAGCCA